rnacentral:rRNA from 1 species
UACGUAGGGUGCGAGCGUUGUCCGGAAUUAUUGGGCGUAAAGCGCGCGCAGGCGGUCCUUUAAGUCUGAUGUGAAAGCCCACGGCUCAACCGUGGAGGGUCAUUGGAAACUGGGGGACUUGAGUACAGAAGAGGAAAGCGGAAUUCCACGUGUAGCGGUGAAAUGCGUAGAGAUGUGGAGGAACACCAGUGGCGAAGGCGGCUUUCUGGUCUGUAACUGACGCUGAGGCGCGAAAGCGUGGGGAGCAAACAGG